GUCUUCCAGAAGUAGCUGCAAUUUCUCAAAUGAUCAAGCAGCUUAGGAGCUUGGAUCCCACUUUCAGAGGCAACAAACACAUCGGAGCCUUAGUUCCUUGAUUUACAAUGCUUUGUUGGGAGUCCUGGUAGAAGUUUGGUAGCCUGUCAGAGACACCUGCACCCACGUGGAAGAAUGGGUACAUUCAACAGAACCGCCAAGAAUCAUGAAAAUUAGAAGUAAUCAAAUGCCCCUCAAGAUUUUUUCCCCUGCAGGAACAGAGGAAACAACUGCAGAAGUGGCAGCUCUGUAGGCAAAUAAACACUCCAGAGAGUUGCUCACGGUGGAAGUCGGACUUCAAAUAUACAAAUUGAAGCCUUCAGAGCCAGUUUAAUAUGCAUAAUGUGGUCUGAUGAAAAAUAGUAUAGCUAUGCUGUGGUGACCAGCACUGCUUAGCAUUCGUUUGGAUUUCAAGCUGCAAUGGAAGAAUGGUGCAAAAUUUGGAUACACAACAUUCAUCAACACAAUGAAUAAAAUAAUGAACACAUCUGUCAAGGCACCAUGAAGGAAGAGACACGCUUUUCUGGGCUGGAUGAUCAUCAAUAUCUCCAGCUUUCUGGAUAUCAACAGGAACCCAGGCAUUUUGGUUAUUAUGAAAAGUGUGAGGGUAUUUGUCUCAGGACUGUAGUGCCAACACUCAUCAGACAAUUACUUGAUUUUCAGGUGGAACUUUUUAGAGCUCUUCAUCAAGAAUAUGAUGUGGGGUGUGGAUGCCCACCAAGACUUCCUUAUCCCUGACAAUACUUAAAACAUCUGUGCAGGUCUGUUUGUUGGAUAAAAAAAAUUUCAUCCUUGGACCUGUCCUUUGUGGAACUGUUCUUCCAGCAUUUGUCAGAAUAAGAGGGAUUGCAGAAAAACCCUGCAGAAAUUGUUUAGCCUCAGAC